ACUGGUUUUAGUCUUGUUCUAAUCGAUUUUUAGCAGUACCACCUGCUUAGCCUAUUAAAACAUUUUGAUCGAUAGUGUAACAGUACCGCGAGGGAAAGGUGAAAAGAACCCUACAGGUUGGAGUGAAAAGAUUUUGAAUUAAAGGAUUUAAAGCAAUCAAACUGAAAGGUUUGGUGUACCUUUUGCAUAAUGGGUCAGCAACUUGUUUCUUGUAGUGAGUUUAAAUUUUUUAGACGUAUUUAAUAAGUUUUAAUUACAGGAAGCAGACCCGAAGCCAAGCGAUCUAACCUCGAUCAGGCUGACGUCUUAACCGACAGAGGGCCGAACUCGUGUAUGUUGCAAAAUGCUGAGAUGAAUUGAGGUUAGGGGUGAAAGGCUAAUCAAGCUUGGUUAUAGCUGGUUUUCGGCGAAAUUUAUUCAGGUAAAGAGCUGUUUAUUCCUAGUCGGGUAAGGUAACGUUACAUGUUUGGGGGGA
rnacentral:rRNA from 1 species